GUGAAAAUACAGAAAAUAACAACUUUGUAAAACUGGCUUAAACUUUAAUUUAAGCAACAGAACAUUGUAUCAUACCUUGUUCACAUUUCAAAUUGUACAGGUUCUGGUCACGUUCAAUUGUUAUCCUAUUAACAUAACGUUCACGUUCAAUUGUUGUCCUAUGUAACAUAACGUUCACGUUCAAUUGUUGUCCUAUGUAACAUAAUGUUCACGUUCAAUUGUUGUCCUAUGUAACAUAACGUUCACGUUCAAUUGUUGUCCUAUUAACAUAACGUUCACGUUCAAUUGUUAUCCUAUUAACAUAACGUUCACGUUCAAUGGUUAUCCUAGGUAACAUAACGUUCACGUUCAAUGGUUAUCCUAGGUAACAUAACGUUCACGUUCAAUGGUUAUCCUAUGUAACAUAACGUUCACGUUCAAUGGUUAUCCUAGGUAACAUAACGUUCACGUUCAAUGGUUAUCCUAGGUAACAUAAUGUAUAUUCACCAUACAGACAGAUUAUCCGCGUAUUCCAAAGGUGAGAGAAUGAUACUGCACAAAUGACACACAGAUAACUCAACUAUACAGGCUCAUUUUCAAUCACAAGCCAGUGUUGACUUGUAGUAAAAUAGUCUUUAUUCAUCUCAACUAGGAAGGAAAUACUACAUACCUAAAAAUAUUGAAACUGUAAAUUCAACACGACAAGAACUUCAAGCAGACCUGUUGUACAGCAUACAUACGGAUCUUUUCAAUUU